rnacentral:rRNA from 1 species
GACGNNNGCUGGCGGCGUGCCUAAUACAUGCAAGUAGAACGCUGAAGGAGGAGCUUGCUUCUCUGGAUGAGUUGCGAACGGGUGAGUAACGCGUAGGUAACCUGCCUGGUAGCGGGGGAUAACUAUUGGAAACGAUAGCUAAUACCGCAUAAGAGUAGAUGUUGCAUGACAUUUGCUUAAAAGGUGCAAUUGCAUCACUACCAGAUGGACCUGCGUUGUAUUAGCUAGUUGGUGGGGUAACGGCUCACCAAGGCGACGAUACAUAGCCGACCUGAGAGGGUGAUCGGCCACACUGGGACUGAGACACGGCCCAGACUCCUACGGGAGGCAGCAGUAGGGAAUCUUCGGCAAUGGACGGAAGUCUGACCGAGCAACGCCGCGUGAGUGAAGAAGGUUUUCGGAUCGUAAGGCUCUGUUGUAAGAGAAGAACGAGUGUGAGAGUGGAAAGUUCACACUGUGACGGUAUCUUACCAGAAAGGGACGGCUAACUACGUGCCAGCAGCCGCGGUAAUACGUAGGUCCCGAGCGUUGUCCGGAUUUAUUGGGCGUAAAGCGAGCGCAGGCGGUUAGAUAAGUCUGAAGUUAAAGGCUGUGGCUUAACCAUAGUACGCUUUGGAAACUGUUUAACUUGAGUGCAAGAGGGGAGAGUGGAAUUCCAUGUGUAGCGGUGAAAUGCGUAGAUAUAUGGAGGAACACCGGUGGCGAAAGCGGCUCUCUGGCUUGUAACUGACGCUGAGGCUCGAAAGCGUGGGGAGCAAACAGG